rnacentral:rRNA from 1 species
CCUACGGGGGGCAGCAGUGGGGAAUAUUGCACAAUGGGGGAAACCCUGAUGGAGCGACGCCGCGUGAGUGAAGAAGUAAUUCGGUAUGUAAAGCUCUAUCAGCAGGGAAGAAAAUGACGGUAACUAAGUGAGAAGCCCCUGCUAGAUACGUGCCAGCAGCCGCGGUAAUACGUAGGGGGCAAGCGUUAUCCGGAUUUAUUGGGUGGAAAGGGAGCGGAGACGGCAGGGCAAGUCUGGAGUGAAAGGCGCGGGCUCAACCCCCGGACUGCUCUGGAAACUGUACGGCUGGAGUGCAGUAGAGGUGAGUGGAAUUCCAUGUGUAGCGGUGAAAUGCGUAGAUAUAAGGAGGAACACCAGUGGCGAAGGCGGCUUACUGGACUGUAACUGACGCUGAGGCUCGAAAGCGUGGGGAGCAAACAGGAUUAGAUACCCCUGUAGUC